UACGUAGGGCGCAAGCGUUGUCCGGAAUUAUUGGGCGUAAAGAGCUCGUAGGCGGCUUGUCGCGUCGACUGUGAAAUCCCGAGGCUCAACUUCGGGCUUGCAGUCGAUACGGGCAGGCUAGAGUUCGGUAGGGGAGACUGGAAUUCCUGGUGUAGCGGUGAAAUGCGCAGAUAUCAGGAGGAACACCGAUGGCGAAGGCAGGUCUCUGGGCCGAUACUGACGCUGAGGAGCGAAAGCGUGGGGAGCGAACAGG
rnacentral:rRNA from 1 species